GUACGGGGGGGGCAAGCGUUGUUCGGAAUUACUGGGCGUAAAGCGCACGUAGGCGGCUUUGUAAGUUAGAGGUGAAAGCCCGGGGCUCAACUCCGGAACUGCCUUUAAGACUGCAUCGCUUGAAUCAUGGAGAGGUUAGUGGAAUUCCGAGUGUAGAGGUGAAAUUCGUAGAUAUUCGCAAGAACACCAGUGGCGAAGGCGGCUCACUGGCCCGAUACUGACGCUGAGGCACGAAAGCGUGGGGAGCAAACAGG
rnacentral:rRNA from 1 species